UACGUAGGGGGCAAGCGUUGUCCGGAAUCAUUGGGCGUAAAGCGCGUGUAGGCGGUUCGGUAAGUCUGCUGUGAAAGUCCAGGGCUCAACCCUGGGAUGCCGGUGGAUACUGCUGAACUAGAGUGCGGAAGAGGCGAGUGGAAUUCCCGGUGUAGCGGUGAAAUUCGUAGAUAUCGGGAGGAACACCGGUGGCGAAGGCGGCGACCUGGGUCGAGACUGACGCUGAGGCGACGAAGCGUGGGGAGCAAACAGG
rnacentral:rRNA from 1 species